rnacentral:rRNA from 1 species
UGCGCAGGCGGGCUCGUAAGUCAGUGGUGAAAUACUGCCGCUUAACGGUAGAACUGCCAUUGAUACUGCAAGUCUUGAAUAUGGUUGAGGUAGGCGGAAUGUGUUGUGUAGCGGUGAAAUGCAUAGAUAUGACACAGAACGCCGAUUGCGAAGGCAGCUUACUAAGCCAUUAUUGACGCUGAGGCACGAAAGCGUGGGGAGCGAACAGGAUUAGAUACCCUGGUAGUCC